AUUUUUUGAAAUGUAUUGCCCAUUUUAUUAGUUUAUUAUAGAACUACAGCAAAAAGAGUAAUAUAAAUAGAAAAUGGAAAAUUGCUACAACAUACAAUACUGACAUCUAGUGAUUCCCAUCUUAUAUAAUUUACGUAGUUCAAUGGACAGACAACUUGUUUAUUGAAAGAUCACUGAAAUAAAUACAUAUAUGGACAUUACAAAUAGUUUCGAAAAUGUUUAGUAUUAUAAGAUAUACGUUUAUAAAGUCGCUUCGGGCCAAUUAAGGUAUACAUAAUUUUAUUUAUACAUCUUUAAAUGAUAAUGCAUUUGUGUGUAGCACAUACAUUCUUAUUAGCUUAACAAACUGUUUCCAGUUCUAUGUAUGGUAUACAGUCAUGUACUUACUGUAAUAAAAAAAGCUUUUCUUGUUUGAUUUA